rnacentral:lncRNA from 1 species
UUCAAUGAGAAGAAUGAGAGAACUGAAAAGCCAAAGUUCAAUUAUGCCACUGUGUAUUAGCGUCUGACCGUAUGCGUUCACAAGUGAAGAAACCAACCUAACAAGGUUAGACUAAAUCCAUGUAAACCUAACAUGAAGGCGCAUGAGGAGCAUUGAAUGAUCAGAUUCAGUGGUGGAAGCAACUAAGGAAAGGGAAGUUUGCCUCAAUGACAUGGAUCAAAUAGAAGUGGACAACGCAUCCUAACAGUAGCAGAUGCAGUCUGCAAAAAGUAUACGGACAACAACGAAACUUCCCACUGAAGGAAGAAUAUGUCUGUUGUCUCAACUACCAGCAGCGAAGUUUGAAUUGUGAUUUCUCCAACGGAUAGUUAAUUCAAACUUCUAUUUAGUUAGAAGAGCUAACACGACAGAUAUAAAGAAAAAAAAGAGGAGAGUGUGUGUCGUCUCUGCGUACGCAACCACAUACCAAGAGAUGCCAAAGCUCAAAAGAAGACACAUCUGGACAAGAGUGUAGAGCUUAAAGAAAAAAUCUAUAUCGUCCAUGGUUAGCCGAUUGGAAAAAGGUCCAUGGUGAAGCUCGAAGCUCAACGAAAAAGAAGACAUCAGUUCAAAAAGCUCCAUUCUACUAAUGUCUCAACCUUAGGAGAACCUUUUAAUCCUUCUUUUGCUACAGAGCUUAAACGUCAUAUCCAAGCUUAGACGAAUGAAUCAACCUUCAGAAAUGUUCUUCGUUGUAAGGUGAACUCGGCCCUAGUUGAAAACCUGAAAUCAUUAAACAUAAACAUACAUCCAGUGCUAGGAGUUUGUCGGCUAGUUGAAAGCAAGUUGUAAUUAGAAUAGUUUGAUCAAAAUAGAUGUAGGGACUAUACAUUCUCUAUGUCAUUUACCGCUUUAUGCUAUACUCUAUCUGUUUUAGCUUUACGAAUAGCCUGAAUUUAGUUUUCUAUGCAUGAGCUCCUUAGAACUAUCUUUAUCUCAAAGUAUUCAGAGAGACACCAAACGACUACGAGUAUAAACAAUCUGAAACUAACUAAACAGUGUGAGUCUGUAAGUUUAUCACAAGCUAUCAGCUCAGCUAGUUCCUCACCACUUGAUUUUAGUUACUUUGAUAAGGUCUACGAGCUAGAUCAUCGACUCUGUCAGAACAGACAUUCAACCAAAGUGACUCUCAUGACUAAAGGUUGACGAAGGCGUCCUUGUUUCAAGACGCAAUGCAUUGUAUGGUCUGUUGUCCAGAAAUAUUUUACAUCUAUCAGACUUACUUCGGAAAUAACAAUCUUUUAUAGCAAUGAUAAACUACAUGCUGUUUAGUAAAUACAUUGGCAUGGAUGUAAAUAUCUCAUACAGGUUGAUUAUUCACCACAGAAAAUCUCACUGUUUAUUCCUAGUUUAAACAAAAUUUUGGAAUCGACUUGAUUCAGCCCCUUAUUUAGAAGUGUUGUCAAUUUUGGAUUCCAUUCCAGUGUAGAAACCUAUCUAUAAGUGAUUUCAACUUUUACUUCAAAUCUGCAAAUGAGGUUACCAUUUACUCCCUCCGUCCCACGAAUCUUGACACGUUUGGAGUUGUAGAUUAGUGUUUUAAGUGUGUAGUUAAUAAAAUAUAAAAGUGAUAAAGUAGGAGAGAGAAGGUAAUAAUUAUUACCCAAAAUGGAAACGUGUCAAGAUUCGUGGGACGGCCCAAAAAGGAAAACGUGUCAAAAUUCGUGGGACGGAGAGAGUACUAUAAAUACGUAAUAAUUACUUUAAAAUCGCAUUAGUAAUUAUAAUCUAUAAUUCCUAAAAUAUAAAUUCUCGGAUGCAACCCACUGAUAUUGCAAGUAUUAAUUUUUUCCGUUUUUCUAGUUGCAUGAAAUUCAUGUUACGGUUAUAGUGCCGUCAGAUCAUGCGACAGUAUCACAUGAAAUUCCCGUUUUCUUUAGAGCAUCCACUAUGCUGGGUUUUUUCUCAGGUAGUUGAUGUGCUGGCAUGGGUAGCACCAUAGGAAAAAGCAAUAAAAUGAGGUGCAAAAGUUUUAAGGAAGUAAUUUUACUACCCGGGUAGUAGUAGCAGCAAUGGUGGGUUCCACCAAGUAUUUUAAACUAAUUUCUAUUUUUUGUUGUGGUUCCCAACUACUUAAAUCAUUUUUUAUAUAUAUAAUGGUAAAUAUAAUAAU